CUGUUUCAAUUUGCUGGGGGCAAAUGAAGUGAAUGUGUGAAUCUAUGCCGCCAGCUGUAACGAUGUGGUUCUCGCCGGCAAUCACCUCUGUACCGGCCCCGAUAGAAAGAUUGACACCAGCCAUAGUUUUGGGAUUGCCAGCUUGACCUACUCCGUAAAUUCGACCAUCUUUAAUUCCAAUAUCAGCCUUGAUUAUACCCCAAUGAUCAAUGAUUACCGCGUUGGUAAUCACAAGAUCCAUGGCUUCAGCGAGCGCCUCCGGGUCUUGUCCCAUACCAUCACGUAU
rnacentral:sRNA from 1 species